rnacentral:tRNA from 1 species
AACGAGAUAGUUUAAGUAAAAACGUUUAUUUUACACGUAAGAGUUGAGAUGAUUCUCUAUCGUUA